UACAGAGGUCCCAAGCGUUGUUCGGAUUCACUGGGCGUAAAGGGUGCGUAGGUGGUGAGGUAAGUCGGAUGUGAAAGCUCGGAGCUCAACUCCGAAAUGGCAUUGGAAAGUACCUUGCUAGAGGGUUGGAGGGGGGACUGGAAUACUUGGUGUAGCAGUGAAAUGCGUAGAUAUCAAGUGGAACACCAGUGGCGAAGGCGAGUCCCUGGACAACUCCUGACACUGAGGCACGAAAGCUAGGGGAGCAAACAGG
rnacentral:rRNA from 1 species